rnacentral:rRNA from 1 species
CCUACGGGGGGCAGCAGUGGGGAAUAUUGCGCAAUGGGCGAAAGCCUGACGCAGCGACGCCGCGUGAGGGAUGAAGGUCUUCGGAUCGUAAACCUCUGUCAGCAGGGAAGAACGGUCACUGUGCUAAUCAGCAGUGAAUUGACGGUACCUGCAAAGGAAGCACCGGCUAACUCCGUGCCAGCAGCCGCGGUAAUACGGAGGGGGCGAGCGUUAAUCGGAAUUACUGGGCGUAAAGCGCUCGUAGGCGGUAUGUCAAGGCAAGGGUGAAAUCCCCGCGCGCAACGUGGGAACUGCCUUUGAAACUGGCAAACUGGAGUGUGUGAGAGGAUAGUGGAAUUCGAGGUGUAGGAGUGAAAUGCGUAGAUAUCUGGAGGAACAUCGGUGGCGAAGGCGACUAUCUGGCACAUAACUGACGCUGAGGAGCGAAAGCGUGGGUAGCGAACAGGAUUAGAUACCCCUGUAGUC